GUUAGCUGUUAUCAGCUGUUGAAAAUAAAAUAGUGCAUUAAUCGUAGUGAAUUUCAUUUCUCUUCCUUUGGGAGAUUAUAAAACUCAAAAUAUCUCUUCUUCGCAGAAAUAAUAAUCAGAUAUGUACUGUGCAGCUUAUUGUUUGUAUUGUAACAACAGUUACAAAAAAGGUUUUAUCUUGCUCAGAAAAGACUUUCCCAAAGAUCCUAUAUUAAGAGAAAAGUGGCGUAUUAUUGGAAGGGAAGAGAAUUGAAAAAAACACUUUAAACCCAAUGACUGGAUCGUUUAUAGAAGGUGCAUCAAGAAAGAUGCUGUUCCAACCUGUUUUUUUUUUGUAACAAUGUCACAUCAAUGUCGGAGACUUUGAUUCGUCAACCUCUAACAGGUCUAAAUCAGAAUUACUUUGAAUACAAAUAUUUCUGAUGUAAUGUAAAGUUCUAUCAACAUACUCGUGAUUGCUCCAUUCAUUAAGAAUUUAUAUUUUCUCACAAUAAUGUCAAUAUUGUUGUUACAAUACCAACAAUAAGCAUAGUACAGCAUAUCUGAUUAUUAUUUCUGCAAAGAAGAGAUAUUUUGAGCUUUAUAACCUCCCUAGGAAAAAAUGUUAUAUAU